AUGGCGCAAUCUGAUAAGGGGAUGCCUCAAAUUGGCAUGAUAUUCAAAAGUCAAGAGGAGUCUUGGUUGUUUUGGGUAGCAUAUGGUGGUCGUGUAGGCUUUGAUGUGAGGAAAAGGUACACCAAUGUGAGCAAAUUUGAUGGUAAGGUAACUUCCUGUAGACAUGUUUGUGCCAAUGAAGGUCAUCGGAAAAAAACGCAAAGAGAAUCCAUUCGGAAGUGCUUUAGAGCUGAGACAAAAACUGAUUGUAAAGCUCGAAUGACUCUUACAUUGGAUCGAGAGUCUGGAAAUUUGGAAGUCACGGAUGUAGUUCUUGAACAUAAUCACUUGCUUCACUUGCCACAAACCCGCCACCUCAUGGUUAUUCAUGAGCAAAAUGACUGUAAAUACAUGAAAUUUUCUACUAGGACAGAUUACAAGAGAUGA
rnacentral:rRNA from 1 species